CAUCUCAGUAAUCUCAUAGACAAAGCGAUUAACAUUGUGCAGCGUCCCGCCGGAAAACUCAGCAGAGUGGCAAGGCGCAAAGGGAUCUUGCAACUAGCAGGAGGAGCAGCAAAAGAGGAAGACAGUGAUUCUUCCCAGGAUUCUGAGGUUAUUCCUGAAAGUCAAGGAAAAGUGUGGGUCAGUGCAUGGCUUUCUGCUGCAAACACCAACAGGUUGGACGCACACUCUGCUGUAGUGGAGC